rnacentral:rRNA from 1 species
AUUGAACGCUGGCGGCAGGCCUAACACAUGCAAGUCGAGCGGAUGACGGGAGCUUGCUCCUUGAUUCAGCGGCGGACGGGGGAGUAAUGCCUAGGAAUCUGCCUGGUAGGGGGGGACAACGUUUCGAAAGUAACGCUAAUACCGCAUACGUCCUCCGGGAGAAAGCGGGGGACCUUCGGGCCUUGCGCUAUCAGAUGAGCCUAGGUCGGAUUAGCUAGUUGGUGGGGGAAUGGCUCACCAAGGCGACGAUCCGUAACUGGUCUGAGAGGAUGAUCAGUCACACUGGAACUGAGACACGGUCCAGACUCCUACGGGAGGCAGCAGUGGGGAAUAUUGGACAAUGGGCGAAAGCCUGAUCCAGCCAUGCCGCGUGUGUGAAGAAGGUCUUCGGAUUGUAAAAGCACUUUAAGUUGGGAGGAAGGGCAGUAAGCUAAUACCUUGCUGUUUUGACGUUACCGACAGAAUAAGCACCGGCUAACUCUGUGCCAGCCGCCGCCGUAA